rnacentral:snoRNA from 1 species
UUAAUACUAGCUGAGCUCUCUAUGUUCUAGCUUUGAUGACAGACUUGUGAUACAGUGUGAGAACUGGGUUUAAGAA